rnacentral:rRNA from 1 species
AUUGGACGCUGGCGGCAUGCUUUACACAUGCAAGUCGAACGGUAACAGGGUGCUUGCGCCGCUGACGAGUGGCGAACGGGUGAGUAAUGCGUCGGAACGUGCCGAGUAGUGGGGGAUAACGCAGCGAAAGUUGUGCUAAUACCGCAUACGUACUGAGGUAGAAAGUGGGGGACCUUCGGGCCUCACGCUAUUCGAGCGGCCGACGUCUGAUUAGCUAGUAGGUGAGGUAAAGGCUCACCUAGGCGACGAUCAGUAGCGGGUCUGAGAGGAUGAUCCGCCACACUGGGACUGAGACACGGCCCAGACUCCUACGGGAGGCAGCAGUGGGGAAUUUUGGACAAUGGGCGAAAGCCUGAUCCAGCCAUGCCGCGUGUCUGAAGAAGGCCUUCGGGUUGUAAAGGACUUUUGUCAGGGAGGAAAUCCCUAGUGCUAAUAACACUGGGGGAUGACAGUACCUGAAGAAUAAGCACCGGCUAACUACGUGCCAGCAGCCGCAGUAA